GUGGGGAUAGCUCAGUUGGGAGAGCGUCAGACUGAAGAUCUGAAGGUCGAAUGUCCGAUCCACGUUGACUGCA
rnacentral:tRNA from 1 species